UGGACGACUCUCGGCAACGGAUAUCUCGGCUCUCGCAUCUAUGAAGAACGUAGCGAAAUGCGAUACCUGGUGUGAAUUGCAGAAUCCCGUGAACCAUCGAGUCUUUGAACGCAAGUUGCGCCGGAGGCCAUCCGGCCAAGGGCACGCCUGCCUGGGCGUCACGA
rnacentral:rRNA from 1 species